GAUGAACGCUAGCGGCAGGCCUAACACAUGCAAGUCGAGGGGUAGCAGGAUUAAGCUUGCUUAAUUGCUGACGACCGGCGCACGGGUGCGUAACGCGUAUGCAACCUACCUUAUACUGGGGUAUAGCCCGGAGAAAUUCGGAUUAAUCCCCCAUAGUACUAAUGAAUCGCAUGGUUUAUUAGUUAAAGCAUUGCGGUAUAAGAUGGGCAUGCGUACUAUUAGCUAGAUGGUGAGGUAACGGCUCACCAUGGCUACGAUAGGUAGGGGGCCUGAGAGGGUGGUCCCCCACACUGGUACUGAGACACGGACCAGACUCCUACGGGAGGCAGCAGUGAGGAAUAUUGGUCAAUGGGCGCAAGCCUGAACCAGCCAUGUCGCGUGCAGGAAGAAUGCCCUAUGGGUUGUAAACUGCUUUUAUUUGGGAAUAAACCUCUUUACGUGUAGAGAGCUGAAGGUACCAAAUGAAUAAGCACCGGCUAACUCCGUGCCAGCCGCCGCGGUAA
rnacentral:rRNA from 1 species